ACAGGCGCUCAGCAGCCAAUGGGCUUCAGAGGAGGUGGCACAUGCUAAUGAGGGACAAAUGUCCACUGACCGUGACCUUGAGGAACGCGCUAUAAAUGUGGGCACACCUCGGUGGGGCGCAUUUCGUUGUGCUUACUCUCAGAACAACGAACAGAGUCUUGUUUCAGUCUGGCCUUCUCUUUAAGAGAAAGUUGCACUCUCUUAAACUUCAUCCAAGCGACUUUUCUGUUGCGUAAUUUUCAUGUGGUGCCAUUUUUACGCACGGGCGGCCUCUUCUGCCUCCUCAAAGUUUCAGAGAAAAGACUCCAGAAAACAAACUACCCAAUGGCUUCGUGUCUUCUUACCAGAGGAGUCGGCUCUGCGUACAGUCUUGGGAGGAGUUGUUUGGACGAGGAGAGUUUGGAGAGUCCACAAAACUGGAGAGGAGCUGCGCCGCGGGGCGCGCGGGCAGGCCAACUCCAGCGAGGGAACUCUGGAUGAUCUAAAGGCAAAGUGAGAAGUUUGUCUGUGAUGAAAUGAAAAAACAAGUCACUGUAGGUCGCCUAUGCUGUGGGAGCACUGGCCAAAGCCACAUGUGACUGUAUGUUCAAACCGAACGGUGCGCCCCCCCCACUCGGCUUGAUUCCACAUUAGCUCCUUACAUCAGUGCAUCUGCGAUCUAUGAGCUGUUCUGCAUUCCUGUCAUCACACUUCAAAGGCAGAUGUACCGCCGCCACCAUUCAACAAAUACACAUAUUUGUUCUGCAGUUUGAGCAUCUGGUCAAGCAUCUGUACAUUAAAACUGUAUGAAAAUCUCCAUAGAAAUCCUCUCAUUUUUGGAAUUUAUCUGAAAAAAUGUCAAACAACAUCAGAGACCAACGUAGCUGCAGAGAAGGUGCUUCAGGUAAAGGUGAAGACAUCCAUCAGGUAUCAUUGAGACCUAGUCUGUAGCUCCUUGGUCAGGUUGAAGAAUCUCCAGAAUCAGCAGAUACAGAUGGCUGCAGGCCGCUUCAUGAGGAUGGAUCUACAGAAGACGAUGGAGAAGAGCUAAGCUGAGACCUUUUCGGAAGUGCUGUUGUUGAGAGUGGAACAAGCCAAAAAAAGGAAUCCAUCCGAUGAAAUAUCAUCCUGGAACUGCAUGCAAAAUGUCGCCUGAAUGUGGCUGCUCACCAAACGCAAACAGGAUGGGAGACUUAAAACCCUGAGAGGAGAGAAAACAUGAAAACAGGAGUUCAAACGCUCCAGUAGGACCGUGUGCUGCAAACAGAAACCUGUUGGUUGGAACCAAGGAAGUCACCGGAAAGGAGAUCCAACAUUCAUAUUCUGUCGCGUUCCUGGACGCAAUCGGACGAACUUUAAAGGAAAGCAACCUGCAGAUUCCUAGAACAUCUGACUUCAGAGAAAAUGUUAUCUCAGAUGAUAAACUUUCAUAGUUCAUAGUCUGUUAACAGCUGCUAGUAAAGAUUUGUAUUUACAUAAUAUGAGAGAACAUUACAGAAGUCAGCUGCUAAGGAAACGACUCUUUAAGCCCUAAUAAAACAUUUAACCUUUA